UACGUAGGGUGCGAGCGUUAAUCGGAAUUACUGGGCGUAAAGCGCGCGCAGGCGGCUUUGUAAGACAGAGGUGAAAUCCCCGGGCUCAACCUGGGAACUGCCUUUGUGACUGCAAGGCUAGAGUACGGCAGAGGGGGAUGGAAUUCCGCGUGUAGCAGUGAAAUGCGUAGAUAUGCGGAGGAACACCGAUGGCGAAGGCAGUCACCUGGGCCUGUACUGACGCUCAUGCACGAAAGCGUGGGGAGCAAACAGG
rnacentral:rRNA from 1 species